UUUCCUUAGUGCCUUUGUUGUUAAAAAGCCAGCUGGUGUGACCAUCUCAUUCUGUCCAACACUCCUGGCGUGAGCUGCACGCGAUUUGGAGCUCACGGCUCCUUUGCUGGUAUGGAAAUGAUGUGGAUUUUGGAGUCGGGCCUGUGAGGGAAUCACAGUUGCUGUGGUUCCCUUGAAGGCAGGAAUGAUACAGGAGGCUUCUCAGACUGGGUAGCUCUCCUUUUGAGGGAGAGCAUUUGAUUUUAACAAUCAGGCUGGAGCCUGUUCCUAAAUUUUCUACAAACUCCAAGGUGAAGCAGGCCCUGCUGGUCCAUGGAUCUCACUGAGUGGUGUGAAUUCCUGGGCUAGACAGACAAUCCAGGCAGCAAAGGCUAAGACAGGUUCCUAGGAUGAGGAAAGACCUGAUGGAGGCAGAUGGAAAUCAGUACUUUCUGAGAAAGAACAGCAGUGGAAAAGGAUUGCCCAUUUCAUUUAUGCAGAAGGUGGAGCCACAGGAGGGAGAUCUGGAGCAUUCCCAGCCUCUUGGAUGCAACAACUCAGUCUGCUGCUGGGGGCUGCUCUGCACUCCCGCAAUAGGCAACUAACGAAGCCUCUGUGGGGCAGAGAUGGAACCAAAACCGAAUCUGAAGUUCAUCUUCUCUCCCAACUUCUGAUGCUUGAACGUGGUUCUCGGAUUUGUUAGGAUUGCGGCUUCAUUUCAGAAGAUCACCCCCAGAGCAAGGUGGACCUGUUCUGAUAUGGGACUCAUAAGAAGUGGGAUACUGUCAAGAUCACACGUCAUUAUGGUGAACUCUAAAUCCCCAGGGUCUAGUGGUGUGGAUAAAAGCCUUUCGCAGUGAUUGUUUAAUACAACCCCUGCCAUUCUUCAUUUUCCUCCCAUACUUUCUGGGUGCAGAACAUGAUAUAUGUUCAAUGAACUCUUUACUUCUAGCACAACACAACUGAUACAUAACUUCAUAUACGUGUUGGAAUCUUGCACAUCUAGCUUCAAAUUCUUAUCCAGGAACAUGCCUUUUCAUGGCCCUUGUCUAGUUACUUUUGAUUCACAUUUGGUUCAUUUACAGAAACCAACAGUGCUAUGAGAAGUAAACAGGACAAGGUACUUACGUCAUCCCAAGAAAUCUUAUCAUUGCCCAUAGUAGGUACACAAUUAUAAGACAGUGGGAUGUGGCCACUGCACACAUCAACUCACAGCAGCUGUGGAUUGCUGAACGCCACCUGCAAAAGAUCCAGCCAGUCAAACUCCAUUCUGAAUGGGAGAGGCACUCAGAUUUUCUUGAAUGGACUGAGCUACCAUGUGUAAAUGUGUAGAGACUGGGAGCUAGUCUGCAGGGGAUACUGUUCAUAUGCAACAGUGAAUUAUCUCACUUCAGACACUCCUCCCUUCUUUGUGUGUGUUGUAUAUGUGGAUGGGGGCACAGGUUAGUGACAUGCGCCUUUCUCCAUUUUAAUCUAUUUUUGGAGAUAGGUUCUCUUUGAUUUGCUAGUAUGGUUGGUCAGCCCCUAGAAUCUUUCUGUUUUCAUAGUGCUGGGAUUAUAGUAGACCACUACACCUGGCUUCUUGUCAGGGUGACAUCUCCCAGCCAGCCCCACUUUCCCUCCCCUCCUUUUCAUUUCAGUUAGCUCUCCUUUUCUGAUUUUAUUAUCAUACCUGGAAGGGAAAAGUUAGUAGUCCUAUGGAUUUUUUUUUCAGAAUGCUUCCAUGUGUUUUAAAAUGUAACUCAAGUGAGCAAAGACCCUAAGCCGAUUCUCCAUCCUCAUAUUUUCUUGAGGUCCAAAGAGAAGCAAACUAUAAUUUUGAAGAGCCAUAUCCAGAGCUAAUGGAAGUAUGACUGCUUAAAGCAGGAAAAGUAGUUCCCACCCUGCUGGAUGCAACCCAACGUUUGUAACAAAUGUAACUGCUGUGGCUUUGCAUGUUAAACAACAACAUCUUUGUUUGAUAAACCACACAUACAUAUGCUUAGCUAUCUAGGCAGCAGCAUUGCAAUAUGGUGUCAGAAAUUACAGCCAGCUCUUGAUUUCACUGCAAAGAAAAAUUUUGCAUAACCUAAAACUGCACUUAUGUUAGAGACUGGAUUGUCAGAUAGAAUUUUAAUUUUUGGUCCCUUCCUCCUUAUGGCCCUUAUGACAGUCUCCUUUUUUAAUGCUCUAAGCAUUCCUCUUGGUUAGAAAUGACAGACUUGUGUUGGUAAGCUAAAACCCUCUACCCAGGUUCUGUACGCUUUCACACAAGGGCUAAAGUGAGCAUGGAGUUGGUUUCUCUUUCCUGCCGACUUCCUUUUCCCAUCAAUAUCACAGCAUGCUUAGAGGUUUAAAAUUAAGCUAGGUUUGAUUUAUCCAAUCACAAAAAUCAUCUAAAAAAUGUCGGAGCAGGUGAAAAACACUCCCCUCUACAUGGUCGGCUCCCUCUGAAAUGUCCAGAUGGAAUCUGAGCUGAGAACAGCAUGAAGAAUCACAGAACAAGAUGCAAUUAUUUUCUCCCAGUUUCAUGUGCCUAAACUCAGUAUACCCUUGACCAAUGUGAAGCCUUGCUCCCCAGUAGCCAGAAUGUCAGAGCGUUCAAAGUGGCUUAUAUUUACUCAGAGUCUUACCUGGAUAAUCCCCAGGUGGGAAGACUUCCCUUAUACACAAGGCUGAAGUGUGGAGAAGGUUUAUUCUUGGAUAAAAACAAAGGUUAGAAUGAGGCUGAUGAAAUCUAAUGACUCAGCUUGGGGUAGCUUUAGGCCAAGGCCAUGACAAUGUGUGUGGCAUUAUACUUCAGUGAUUUGAUGAAGCUUAUGGUCUUGUAGCUCAUACUCCUCUGCAAGGAGGAAUUUGGAGUCUGGUCUUCAUUUUAGAGAGAAGAUGACCUGGGGGCCUUUGGGAUAUCAACUUCUGCUGGGGUUAUUGUUCACUUUUACAGAUGGCAGGAACUCAAGUAUUCUCUCUCUUCCUCUUCUCUCUACAAUUUGCUUCUUCUAAGAGUGAUCGAGGAUUCAGGCUCCUCUCUUCAUCUCCAUGGAGGAAGAGAUGUGAUGACCAAAUUCCAGGCACCAAAGUGUCCACAGUGCUACAGGAGGACCUACCUUGGCUGUCUUAGUUACUUUUCUAUUGCUGUGCUAAGGCACCAGGACCAAGGCAACUUAUAGAAGAAAGAGUUCAUUGGCCUAACAGUUUCAGAGGAAGAGCCCAUGGCCAUCACAUUGGAGAACAUGACAGCAGGCAGUUUGUAAGGCAGGCACAGCACUGGAGCAGUAGCUGAGAGACAAUAACUGCAGAGCAGAGGGAGAGAGCUCAUGGGAGUUUUGUGGGCUUUUGAAACCUCAUACCACUGCCAACAAGGCCAUACUCAGUCCUCCCUGAAUAGUUGCAAUAAAUGAGGACCAAGUAUUCAAACAUAUGAACCUUCCCUAUGGGGUAUAUUCUCAUUCAAAUCAACACAUUAACCGUUCUCUUUCUAUAUGCUUGGGGAAACGAGAAUGUCUAUCUUUCCAAAGCUUUGAGAUAUUGCUGCCCAAAUCAGAGACCAAAUACUGCAGCUUAUACCAACCUUUUUAUGUGUAGUGGAAACCAGGAAAUUGUUGAUUGCUCAUUACCUCUGGAUGGGGGAGACACACAGAGAAUCAGAUGCAUACACAAGAGCACAUAGACCCAUGUCCAAGCAUGUAGGGAAAGAUACUAUACAUUGAGCUCCCCUUUCAAUAGCAGGGACUAUUAGUGAAGUUUCAGUUUGAGUUCAGAGGAGAGCAGACCCAGCCAUCUAGUCCAGUUCUUUAGAGUCCACACUGGGACCUCUGACCCUACUCUGAGAUCCAGCGCCAGACACCAGUGUUUAUUUUUGAGUAGCACGUGUGAUACUGCAUCUUUGCAAAGAGGAACAGGGUUGCUAGAUUGGAGAGUUAAGGAGAUUUGUUCUGUCUUCCAGUUCCUAUCUGUGUUGGUUAGUAUCUCAUUUUACUAAUGCAUGCACCAAUUUUGCUGCUUGGAUAUUUUGAAUUAGAACAUCAAAAAAACUGUUCAACCAAGGUUUUAUGUCAAGGACUAUUUAGAGAGCGCUACAUGUAACUUACUCCUCCCUCACAAUGAACCUUUGAUAUAAAAUAUUGCUAUCAUGAUGUAACAGCUAAGAGUACUGGGUCAGGAAGAGGUUAUAUGGCAUUUUCAAAGCCACAUAGUGUUCACUAUAUGACACCAUUGACCAGGGGAAGGAUACUGAAUUAGAAUAUGCAUUUGAUGCAUUUGGCAGGUUCCUUAGUAGAUGGCAUGAUACUUGUUAAUUUUCCUUUUCAUUUCACUGUGACAGAAUACUUGGCAAAAGCCACGCAAGGAAAGAUGGCUUUAUUUUGGCUCAGAGUUUGAGGGCACAGUCUACCAUGGUUGAGAAAUCAUGGCAGCAGGACCGGAGGAAGCUAGCCAUAAUGUACGCACAGUCAGAAAGCAGAGAGAUGCAUGCUGCUACUUGAGUUGCUUUCUUCCUUCAGUCUAGGAGCCAAGCCCAUAGAAUGCACAUUCACAAUUAAGAUAGAUCUUCCCACUGAAGCCAAUCUAGGAACUCUCUCACAGGCAUGCCCAGAGGUUUGCCACAGACGAGGUUCCAGACUCUGUCAAGUGAACAAUCUGUAUUGAGCAUAAUGGGUACCUAUUAAGUUGUUGCUCCCAACAGUAGUUAUCUUAUAUUUGAAUUGGGAGAUUAAGGGGAGCUUAAAUGAUAGGUUAAUUGCAUAACAAACUUGAGGAAUCGGAUACAUGCAUCAAUGUAGGGUAUUGGUCUGAUGUUGUUAUGUAUUCAAAGGCUAAAUACUGGCCCCAAGACCUGGUUGCUCUCAAGGAGGAGAUUCUCAGAUACAGGAAGUGAUACUAAGUAACCUUGCUCCCCAAGUUAAUUGUUCAAUGAAAGGCUAAAGCCUGUGAUUGGACAAUAGAUAGAGGUAGGAGUGUUUGUAGUUUCCUGGCUGAAGGUCACCGGUGGAAAAAGAGGAAGAGGAGACCAAGGGUGGAGAAAGCUGCCAUUCAAGGAGAUGGAUCAUGAGCAGAUGGCCAGGAGAAAUAUCAAGUAAUAAAGAACAUAUGGCUGGGAUGUAACUUAAACUAUUCCCCAAACCUGCCCAAUCUAGGUUUACAGUUUGUAAAUAAAAUACUUGUAUUGUGUGUACCAAGUGGAAAGUCACUAGAAGGUGAGAAAGAAGGUGCGCUGUAUAGGCUCAGUUAUGGGCUGUGUUAUCUUUUCAGAGGUUAUACAUAGCUCACUUACUGUGGCAGGUGGAAUCCUUCUAUUGAAAAUGAAAGAUUUAUCCAAUUACAGACCUUAGAAUGUCAAAUGAAAGAGAGUUUUAGAGAUGAUUCAAAUUGGGUGGCCUAAAGGGCACAUGGAGAAACUCAUGUCUCAAUUUUGGAUACUGAAAAUGUUUUAUUAGUUAUUAAAUUUGAAAAAGUGAGAUCCAUGUAAUCUCUGUAUCUGCAAUUUACUUGGAAGGACAAAAGGGUCCGGGGACAUGGACUCCACUCUCCUUCUGCAGGCGCCCUCACUGGGCUGCAUCUCUUAGAGGAGACAUUUGGGAUCCAUUUCCACAGGCUCGGCCAUUUUCUGUUGCCUUCUUAUUCAUAUGACUGCCUGUCCCUGUCAGCAUUGUGCACUUCCUACCAAGUUUGACAAAUGUACACAUGGAGGACGUGAGUGGCGGAUGGUGAGAGAUGGACUGUCUUUUAUUUUGGAGUCAUUGUGUGACUAUCUCCAUAGUCAUGUGACUGUUUUCAUAUACAAUCCUUAUGUCACAAAGCAGCUGCUGGUGUUUAUGAAUUGAGUCAUCUGGGCUUUGAUGGUAUUACAGCUUAAAUGUGCUAAAAUCUAUACUGUGAUGCCCUUAUAUCCAGUACGAUGGCAUCAGGAGGCAGGGCUUUUGGCAGGUGACUGGAUCAUGAAGUAGACUAUUGUGAAUGUAAUUAUUGCCCCAAUAUGAGAGAAUUGCCUUCUCCACCAAGAGCAAGGUGCUAUAUAUGAACCAGGCAUCAGAUUUACUGACACAUUGAUAUUGGACUCGAAAGCCUGCAGAAUCUUAGGAAGUAUAUCUCUGUUGGUAGCCAUUCAGGAAAUGUUAUUUUCUUAGGCAUCCCAAAUAGACUAAGGUGUGCAUAGCAUGAUGAUGUAAUACUGCCCUUCCCAGAUGACUUAGACUCAAAAGCCACAGGAAACAUAUCUCCUAUCCCACUUCACUGCUCACAAAGCUGUGAGGUGAUUGCUGUGGCGGGUGCCUUGGACCCUGAACUACUGCUAUGAGGAGUGACUUGGGGGUAGGGGGCUGGGGAUCUCCAGCGGGAUAAGGACUAUCCUUGAGAAGAUAUUGCUGUGACCUCUGCCAUUGGUCUGGCUACUUCUAUUAGGAUUAUUCAGCCUUGGUUAUAGGCUGGAUUCUGGCCAGAUAAGUCCUAAGAGAUCUUUGACUCUUUCAGCAAAUCCACCUGAGUUGCCUCUUCAGUCCGUGCACAUGCACGGUUCAUCUUGGGUAUUUAUUCCUCUUUCCCAUCUCUAAACCUGAACCCUUCUCAUUGACGGCAAUGGUCUUUGCCAGCAUCCCUUACAUUGUCUAAAUAAACGCGUGCUGAGGAAAAGAGGCUGCGAGUAAAGUGCUUGCUGCAGAAGGAGGAAGGGUCCACUUUGGAUCCAGCUCCCAUGUAAAAAUCUGAAGGUGGCAGUACUCGCCUGCAAUACCAGAGUGUGGAGGUGACAACAGAGAAUCCCCACAGCAGCCAUCUGGUCGGUCAGAGUGCCCCAGGUUCCAUUAGUGAAGAGAUAGAGAAGACACAAGACAUGGGGUUUAACCUCUGGCCUCUAAUGCACAGGUACAUACACAUGAGCACACACAUAUGUGCAGCAGCAACAACAACAAUGCACACACACAAUUUUCUUUGGUUCAAUUGCAAACAAAGAAACACAAAAACAAAACAGAAGCCUCAUUGUUAUCUUACUAUAGAAACUUUCUAGAGUCUGAUGGAUUGAUUUUCCUCUCCAUUCUCACUUUUCUGACUUUGAGGCAAGUUGUUGACCUGUCUUCAUGGCUUUCAAGAUCUGUAAAAUGGGAAUAACUGGUUUGCAGAGGAGCUCUGAAGAAUAAAUGGAUAGCUGUGAAGUAUUUCCCACAGUCCCUAGUUGUGAAGUGUUUCCCACAGUCCCUGGCAUCUUAAUGGCCACCCCGACACUUUAGCAUGCUCUCUGUUCUGACUUUUUUUUUGGGGGAGUUGAGUGAGGCCCAUUAUGAAUUGAAAAUGUGUAGGAACUGUGAGGAAUUCUCUUAGAAACCCAAUGGGAUGGAUGCCUAAUAUGGACAAAAUACCUCUAGCAUUCACUCUGGUCAUUGGAGAAAGGGACCAGGGAGGAGGGACUGCUCAUAUGGUGACCAUAGAAGAGGAUGGAACUUGGAUUUGCUAGUAAGAAAGGCAAAAACUACCUUUCUCUUCUCUGUCCUCAGAAGGACGGUAACUCCACAGUAUGGACACUCAAUAACUACUGCUGACUGACAGGCCAUGGAAUGUUAUAGAAAGUUUACAGGGCAGGGAAUAUAAUAUUAAUAUCCAUGCAAUGUUUUUAUGUUUUAAUUUUGGUAGAGGAAGUCUGAAGCCUGGGGCAAAAGCUACUAUUUUCAUUUGCUUCACCUGAAGUUAUAUUGGCAGAGGCCCUCGGGGUAAAGAAGAAAAGGAUUAGGUUUGGGAAUGGGAAAGGAUAUGAAGGAGUUGUAAUAAAAUAUAUAAGUGCCGGAGCUUGAGGAAUAAACACGGAUGGAUUUCAGACAGAGAAGAGAAGGAUCUGGCAUAAAGACAUUUUGAAGGAAAAAUAAUACACCCAUAGGGUAGGCUCUGCUGAAUGGAAGAGAGAAUGUGAGAAGUAAUGAAAAACUUUUAAUAUCAGGGAACUCCCUAAGAGGUACGUGGAUACUGUUGCUUUACAUUGAUUGAGGGCCCACUCUGUAUGGGGCUGCCAUCUGCUUACAAAGCCAAUGUAUGAAAAUAUGCUUCAGUGAAAGGAUAAAGCUGU